rnacentral:rRNA from 1 species
UGAACGCUUGCGGCGCGCUUAAAACAUGCAAGUCGAACGGACCUCUUUUUCUUCGGAAGCUGAGGUUAGUGGCAGACGGGUGCGUAACACGUGGGUACCUGCCCUGGAGAGGGGGAUAACCAUUGGAAACGAUGGCUAAUACCGCAUAUUCUUGGUUCGCCAAGGAAAGCUCCGGCGCUCUGGGAGGGGCUCGCGGCCGAUUAGCUUGUUGGUGAGGUAAUGGCUCACCAAGGCGAUGAUCGGUAGCUGGUCUGAGAGGACGAUCAGCCACACUGGCACUGAGACACGGGCCAGACUCCUACGGGAGGCAGCAGUUAGGAAUAUUGCGCAAUGGACGAAAGUCUGACGCAGCGACGCCGCGUGGGUGAUGAAGGCCUUCGGGUCGUAAAGCCCUUUUCUGGGGGAAGAGGAAGGACGGUACCCCAGGAAUAAGUCUCGGCUAACUAC